CGAGGAAUCACGUUGUAUUUCACAAGUCGCAGCUUGGGCCUCGGUGACACGAUGGCACAUGCGCGCUCGUGUCUCCAGAGGCGUGCGCGCUUGCAUUUCAGGGCUCUCUGAUACACAGCCUUCCUGGGUUGCACGACGUGUGGGUACCUGGGGAGUGGGGAAAGGAGGGACCCCGAGGGGACGGGUAAUACUGCGCCUUUCCCCCAACCUGCGACGCAAACACCCGGAGCUACGGUGGGAGUGGAAUCGGGCGUCCGUCACGGCUAAAAAUAUUACUCACAGGUAGCAACGGCGCCCGAUUGGCCGAGCUGGUCCCCUAGCAACCACGCUAUUGGCUGCUGGUAUCCUGGAGACGGACGUCAAACCUGGGCUCUGAACCAGGGAAAGAAGUCCCGGGGGGAGCCGGGGUGGAGGGGACAGGGAGCUGCGACGUAUGGGACGGCCUUCGCAGGCCUCCCCUUCCCGGUCCGCGUCCUCGGCUCUCCAGCAGAGCUUCCCGGAAGAACAGCAGCUGGGCGCUGCCUCCCCUCCCGACGCCGAGGCCUGGUAAAUUAGGGAAUUUGCCCUGUCAGAGGUACAGCCAAGACGACGUCAGACCUCUGGACUCUGGAGUCAGCCUUGACCAGGAAUGGAGAAACAAUUCUGCCACUGAAAACAGCAAGUUUGAAAGCCUCACUCUGAAGACUGGGCGCAGAUCUGACCAACCAGGAACCCAGGAACACACCCUGAGCGCAUUUAGUAACUCAGCUUUUCUUUUCUUUUCCUCCUGCCUCAGCCUCUCAGAAUGGCCUCCCAGCCCAGCUAAGCAUAGGUUUUGUAGACCUCUGAGUGAACCCCUUGCCUGAGAGCUCUCCUUCCCAAUCUGUUUCUGCACUCUGAUUUUGGGAAAUUUCAUCACGGGCUCUAAAAUCGGUUCAUUAAAGAUGAUUUUGGGGGGGUAGUUUUGUGAUUCUUUAUUUUCCCCUUUCUUGCGCCUUUUUGCUUAAGCAACCUUAGGCUUCAUUGCAGUAAGUUCAAGGCCGGUUUCUUGCAAAACAAAGAUCAGUAAAGGAAGGACAGCCACUCACAGAGCAGCCUUGUGUUGCCAGGGAGAAGGAGACAGUGGUUUGGGAGCAGAGGUGGGAGGAGAGUUGGGGACCGAACCCCAACAGAUCAAUGGAGACCAAAGCGUAGCACCUCUGAUACUCUGGAAGGCUGAGGCAGGAGGAUCGCAAGUUGGAGCCCAGCCUGGACAACAGAACAACUAGAAAGACCCUCUCUCCAAUGAAAACAUAAAAAGGGCUGGGGAUGUAGCUCUGUCCAAAGGGCCUGGGUUCGGUUCCCAGUAUGGGAGUAGGGAGCAUCUCAGAAAACAAAGAAGCUAAGGGGCUGACCCUCCCUCC
rnacentral:lncRNA from 1 species